rnacentral:rRNA from 1 species
AUUGAACGCUGGCGGCAGGCCUAACACAUGCAAGUCGAGCGAGCGGCGGACGGGUGAGUAAUAUCUGGGAAACUGCCUGAUGGAGGGGGAUAACUACUGGAAACGGUAACUAAUACCGCAUACCAUCAGAUGUGCCCAGGUGGGAUUAGCUAGUAGGUGGGGUAACGGCUCACCUAGGCGACGAUCCCUAGCUGGUCUGAGAGGAUGACCAGCCACACUGGAACGGAGACACGGUCCAGACUCCUACGGGAGGCAGCAGUGGGGAAUCUUGCACAAUGGGCGCAAGCCUGAUGCAGCCAUGCCGCGUGUGUGAAGAAGGCCUUCGGGUUGUAAAGCACUUUUAGCGGGGAGGCGUUACCCGAAGAAGAAGCACCGGCUAACUCCGUGCCAGCAGCCGCGGUAAUUC